rnacentral:rRNA from 1 species
AUAUUGUACAACGGGGGCAACCCGUAUCCAGCCAUGCCGCGUGUGUGAAGAAGGUNCUNNGAUUGNANAGCAAUUUAAGUUGGNNNNNAUUGCUUUAGGCUAAUUCCCUGAAGUUGUGACGUUACCAACAGAAUAAGCACCGGCGAACUGUGCGCCAGCAGCCGCGGUAAUACAGAGGGUGCAAGCGUUAAUCGGAAUUACUGGGCGUAAAGCGCGCGUAGGUGGUUCAGUAAGAUGGGUGUGAAAUCCCCGGGCUCAACCUGGGAACUGCUUUCAUAACUGCUGGGCUAGAGUACGGUAGAGGGUAGUGGAAUUUCCUGUGUAGGGGUGAAAUGCGUAGAUAUAGGAAGGAACACCAGUGGCGAAGGCGACUACCUGGACUGAUACUGACACUGAGGUGCGAAAGCGUGGGGAGCAAACA